GUGCUUACUUCACCAGCAUAUGUAUUAAAAUUGGAACAACACAGAGCUUAGCACAGCCCCCUGUGCAAGGACAACAUGUAAAUUUGUGGAAUAGUCCACAGUUUU
ensembl:snRNA U6 U6 spliceosomal RNA